rnacentral:tRNA from 1 species
GGCUCUGUUGGCAGUUGUUUGUCUUGAAAACAAGCUAAGGGUGUUCGAAUCAUCCGAGAGCUU